rfam:Fibrobacter sp. TWOS genome assembly, contig: Ga0136287_132
GCCCUCAUAGCUCAAAAGGAUAGAGCACGCCCCUCCUAAGGGUGAGAUCUACGUUCGAUUCGCAGUGGGGGUA